GUGCUCACUUCAGCAGCACACAUACUAAAAUUGGAAUGAUACAGGGAAGAUUAGCAUGGCCCCUGUGCAAGGGUGACAUGCAAAUUCAUGAAGCAUUCCAUAUUUUU
ensembl:snRNA U6 U6 spliceosomal RNA